rnacentral:lncRNA from 1 species
GGGUUGCGGGGCUGUGGCCCCGGGGGCUGAGGGCGGCGCGGGUGCGGCGGAAGCAGGGAAGCCGCGAACCGGCCUUCUAGCUGGCCACAGCGCUCUGCACGGACGAUCAGUGAAUGGAGAUUACUCAAGUAUUUAUCGAGAACUUGCAGUGGGCUAGGCACGGUUCAGGUUCACAGUUAUUUCACUUCUAAGUAAAUAUGAUUUUUUAAAAGUGGCACGGGGUGGAAUGUAAUUGAGACAGGAUGGAGUUCCUAGAGAAAUUUUACUUCCUCAAUUUGCACUCCACCUUACUUAGCAUACAGUGUUGGGUCUGUAAUUCCCUUAUCUGACUCUCAAGGAAAUGAAAAAGUAAUGCCUAGAUUGGACUAAACCUCGUUUAACUUCAAGACUGAACUUUCUCAAAGUUGAACCUUCGUCUUGUGAGGAACAGAAAGAUGAAGAACUCUGAAGCACCUCGACUUUCCACCUGUGAAGAUGUGUUCAAAUUUGCAACGUGUGGCCACAUCUAUGAGGUUGCUCCCUCUGGAGGAAACCAGAUGCCACUUUGUGAGGAUACUCAUAGUCCUGUGGAGGCAUAUCCUCCAUAUGGCUGAGACCGCCUGCCAACAACCAUCACUGACUUGCCAGGCAUGAGUGUGCCACCUUGGAAGCAGAUUUUCCAGCCC